rnacentral:rRNA from 1 species
CCCAUUCCGAACACAGAAGUUAAGCUCUUUAGCGCUGAUGGUACUUGGUGGGAAACUGCCUGGGAGAGUAGGACGUAGCCACGUGAAUAUUCCAAGGUAGCUCAAUGGUGGAGCAACCGGCUGUUAACCGGUAGGCUGUGGGUUCGAGCCCCACCCUUGGAGCCAAAAAAAGCCGAAGUGGCGGAACUGGCAGACGCACAGGACUUAAAAUCCUGCGGGACUUACCUCUCGUACCGGUUCGAUUCCGGUCUUCGGCACUUAUAAAACAAUAUCGCGGAGUGGAGCAGUUGGCAGCUCGUCGGGCUCAUAACCCGAAGGUCGUAGGUUCAAGUCCUACCUCCGCAACCAUUAAAAUGGCUCGUUGGUCAAGAGGUUAAGACACCGCCCUUUCACGGCGGUAACAGGGGUUCAAUUCCCCUACGAGUCACCAAUUAAAUAUGCGGGUGUAGCUCAAUGGUAGAGUUCUGGCCUUCCAAGCCAGCUGUGAGGGUUCGANCGUGGAAGGGCCAUCGCUCAACGGAUAAAAGCUACCCUGGGGAUAACAGGCUUAUCUCCCCCAAGAGUCCACAUCGACGGGGAGGUUUGGCACCUCGAUGUCGGCUCAUCACAUCCUGGGGCUGUAGUAGGUCCCAAGGGUUGGGCUGUUCGCCCAUUAAAGUGGUACGCGAGCUGGGUUCAGAACGUCGUGAGACAGUUCGGUCCCUAUCCGUCGCAGGCGUAGGAAAUUUGAGAAGACCUGUCCUUAGUACGAGAGGACCGGGAUGGACGUACCUCUGGUGUACCAGUUGUCCUGCCAAGGGCAUGGCUGGGUAGCUAUGUACGGAAUGGAUAAGCGCUGAAAGCAUCUAAGCGCGAAGUCAACUUCAAGAUAAGAUUUCCCACCGCAAGGGUAAGACCCCAGAAAGACUAUCUGGUUGAUAGGUCGAAGGUGUAAGUGCAGCAAUGUAUUUAGCUUAUCGAUACUAAUAGGUCGAGGACUUGACCAA